GAGGACACGGGAAAGCUUUGGCGGCCGCGGAGCCAUCCUCUCCCCGCCCCGCUCGGGCCUCACACAGCCGGGAGAGGCCUCAGAGCUGUGCGUGAGGCCCGGCAUGAGCGUGAGAGCGGGGAACCAGCUUGUGGACGGCGGGGACCCGGCACGGCGCGGAGGCCCGGGAGAAUAACGGAGGCCAAGAGGGCGAGGCAGGAGGGCGAAACUACCGAGACGGAGGGCGGUCAUCGGAGGGAGACGGGGAUUGAGGGACAGACGGGACUUUAAUUCGCUUUAGGUUUAGUUCUAGGCGAGGGAUGGGUGAGGGGUUGGGGCGCUUCUCCCACUGUCUCCUCGGUCCUCCAUUUCGUCGACGUUUACGUCGUCAGGUAUUUACUGGAGACAGACUCCCAGGCUGACGUCAGACUCUCAACUCAGGAUCCUUACUCCUCCAUCUCCCAAGGGUUGGGAUUUCAGGCGUGGGCCAUGGCCCGUUUUACCGGAUGCUGGAGAUCGAACCCAGGAUUUCGUGCGUGCUGAACUAACGUAACAGAGCUACAAUCCUAGUUCCUAGAUCUAGUAUUUAAAUUUGU
rnacentral:lncRNA from 1 species